ensembl:misc_RNA Metazoa_SRP Metazoan signal recognition particle RNA
GCCGGGCAUGGUGGUGCAUGCCUGUAGUCCCAGCUACUUGGGAGGCUGAGGUAUGAGGAUUGCUUGAGCCCAGGAGGUUGAGGCUGCAGUGAGCUGUGAUCGUGCCACUGCACUCUAGCCUGGGCGACAGGGCAAGACCCUGUCUUAA